GACUACCGGGGUAUCUAAGCCCGUUCGCUCCCCACGCUUUCGCUCCUCAGUGUCAGGUAAUGUCCAGAGGACUGUCUUCACCAUUGGCGUUCCUCACGAUAUCUACGCAUUUCACUGCUACACCGUGAGUUCCAUCCUCCCCUACAUACCUCAAGUUAUGCAGUUUUGAAUACAGGUCUUUGGUUGAGCCAAAGUAUUUAAUAUCCAACUUACAAAACCACCUACGAGCUCUUUACGCCCAAUAAAUCCGGAUAACGUUUGCACCCUACGUAUUACCGCGGCUGCUGGCACGUAGUUAGCCGGUGCUUAUUCAUCUGGUACCUUCAAGAUUAUUCCCAGAUAAAAGAAGUUUACGAUCCGAAAACCUUCAUCCUUCACGCAGUGUUGCUGCAUCAGGCUUUCGCCCAUUGUGCAAAAUUCCCCACUGCAGCCCCCCGUAGG
rnacentral:rRNA from 1 species